UACUGUUAGUGAUGAUUUUAAAAUUAAAAGCAGAUGGGAAUCUCUCUGAGAAAGAAAAUGGGAGAUUAAUCCUUAACCUGAAACAGUA
rnacentral:snoRNA from 2 species